rnacentral:rRNA from 1 species
UGCCCAAGAGAUCGGGAUAACACCUGGAAACAGAUGCUAAUACCGGAUAACAACAGAUGAUGUCUAUCAACUGUUUAAAAGAUGGUUCUGCUAUCACUCUUGGAUGGACCUGCGGUGCAUUAGCUAGUUGAUAGGGUAACGGCCUACCAAGGCGAUGAUGCAUAGCCGAGUUGAGAGACUGAUCGGCCACAUUGGGACUGAGACACGGCCCAAACUCCUACGGGAGGCAGCAGAC